UUCGAGCACGUCAUCACAAAAUAUAAUAACCUCGACACAAAAUAUGGCAACAUCAUCACAAAACGUAGAUUUAACAACGCAGUAGACGAUAACAGCACAUUUUUCAACCAGUCAUCAACAAAUACUGUAACAUCAACAGCUGGAAUAAGUUCAUCAUCUGAACAAAAUCCUAAGUUAGUAAGUGAACAUUAUAUGACAACAUUGCAAGAAACGCAUUAUGGUUUCACGGACUCAUCAACUGUCAUUAUUGAUAAAAC
rnacentral:lncRNA from 1 species